UGAAAAUGGCCAGUGGGCCACAGAUGACAU
rnacentral:piRNA from 1 species